AGGAUGAACGCUAGCGGCAGGCUUAAUACAUGCAAGUCGUGGGGCAGCAGGUGUAGCAAUACAUGCUGGCGACCGGCAAACGGGUGCGGAACACGUACGCAACCUUCCUUUAACUGGAGAAUAGCCCCUCGAAAGAGGGAUUAAUACUCCGUAACAUCCCGACACAGCAUUGUGAUGGGAUUAUAGCUCCGGCGGUUAAAGAUGGGCGUGCGCCUGAUUAGGUAGUUGGCGGGGUAACGGCCCACCAAGCCUGCGAUCAGUAACUGGUGUGAGAGCACGACCAGUCACACGGGCACUGAGACACGGGCCCGACUCCUACGGGAGGCAGCAGUGAGGAAUUUUCCGCAAUGGGCGAAAGCCUGACGGAGCGACGCCGCGUGCACGAGGAAGGUCUUCGGAUCGUAAAGUGCUGGUCGAGGGGGACGAGUUAUGACGGUACCCCUGGACGGAAGCCCGGCUAACUACGUGCCAGCAGCCGC
rnacentral:rRNA from 1 species